rnacentral:rRNA from 1 species
GGGGAAUAUUGCACAAUGGGGGAAACCCUGAUGCAGCGACGCCGCGUGAGCGAUGAAGUAUUUCGGUAUGUAAAGCUCUAUCAGCAGGGAAGAAAAUGACGGUACCUGACUAAGAAGCACCGGCUAAAUACGUGCCAGCAGCCGCGGUAAUACGUAUGGUGCAAGCGUUAUCCGGAUUUACUGGGUGUAAAGGGAGCGUAGACGGAGUGGCAAGUCUGAUGUGAAAACCCGGGGCUCAACCCCGGGACUGCAUUGGAAACUGUCAAUCUAGAGUACCGGAGAGGUAAGCGGAAUUCCUAGUGUAGCGGUGAAAUGCGUAGAUAUUAGGAGGAACACCAGUGGCGAAGGCGGCUUACUGGACGGUAACUGACGUUGAGGCUCGAAAGCGUGGGGAGCAAACAGGAUUAGAUACCCUGGUAGUCCACGCCGUAAACGAUGACUACUAGGUGUCGGGCAGC